UGAGGCGAACCGGGGGAACUGAAACAUCUAAGUACCCCGAGGAAAAGAAAUCAACCGAGAUUCCCCCAGUAGCGGCGAGCGAACGGGGAGCAGCCCAGAGCCUGAAUCAGUAUGUGUGUUAGUGGAAGCGUCUGGAAAGGCGCGCGAUACAGGGUGACAGCCCCGUACACAAAAAUGCACAUAUUGUGAGCUCGAUGAGUAGGGCGGGACACGUGGUAUCCUGUCUGAAUAUGGGGGGACCAUCCUCCAAGGCUAAAUACUCCUGACUGACCGAUAGUGAACCAGUACCGUGAGG
rnacentral:rRNA from 1 species